CAUAGAUACCACAUAUGCAUUUGUCCCUAAAAUAUUCAGCAGGGCUGAAAUUUGGCAAGAAGGGACAUCUACAACAUAACCAUCAGCAAAGUUUGAGUGUUGUAGUGCGGGUUGCUGCGACCUUGCAUUUCCAAUGCAGUGGGGCUGGCAGGGUGAAAGCAACCAUGAAGAGGAAACAUGACCAUGUCUCAGUUUUGGAGAUUGGUCUCUUUGGGGCAAGGAUUAGAAGGAAGCCAAUUCUGAGAAAGGCCAACAUUAAGUCAUGUCUGGAGGUUUCCAGACAGACACUGAGACCUUCUGGAAGAUUCAGGUUAGUGGUCUGAUGAGACUGAAAGUGAGGUCUUCACCUGACACAGCCCAUCAUCCAGGUGACACCAUCCCUACCAUUAAACAAAG